CGGUAUGUAUCCCAGGGCUGUGGCUGGUUGUGGCCAUGGGAUCUCCAACUACAUGGGAGAACCAUCUGGAGAGACCGACAGCUCAGGUCAGCGCAAUGCCUGCAGCUGCCACACGCCUUUCCUAUAAUG